rnacentral:rRNA from 1 species
ACGGAGGAUCCGAGCGUUAUCCGGAAUUAUUGGGUUUAAAGGGUGCGUAGGCGGAAGAAUAAGUCAGUGGUGAAAGUUUGCAGCUCAACUGUAAAAUUGCCGUUGAAACUGUUUUUCUUGAGUGUAAAUGAGGUAGGUGGAAUGUGUUGUGUAGCGGUGAAAUGCUUAGAUAUGACGAAGAACACCGAUUGCGAAGGCAGCUUACUGAAUUACAACUGACGCUGAGGCGCGAAAGCGUGGGGAGCGAACAG